ACAAGCAGCGGAGCGUGUGGUUUGAUUCGAUGUUACACGAAGAACCUUUACCAGGGUUUGACAUGCAAGUGGUAGGAAACCGAAAGGUGACCGACCCUUCGGGGAGCUUGCACAGGUGCUGCAUGGGCUGUCGUCAGCUCGUGUCGUGAGAUGUUCGGUUAAGUCCGCUAACGAGCGCAACCCUCGCUGUGUGUUAUAUGUGUCAUACGAGACUGCCGGUAAAAGCCGGAGGAAGGUGAGGAUGAUGUCAAGUCAGCAUGACCUUUAUAUCCAGGGCUACACACACGCUACAAUGGUCUGUACAAUGGGUAGCCAAGCCGCGAGGCGGAGCCAAUCCUGAAAGCAGGCCUCAGUUCAGAUUGCAGUCUGCAACUCGACUGCAUGAAGCCGGAGUUGCUAGUAACCGCAGGUCAGCAAUACUGCGGUGAAUACGUUCCCGGGUCUU
rnacentral:rRNA from 1 species